rnacentral:lncRNA from 1 species
CUUUACAAUUCAAUUUAAGGAUAUUUUCACCACGUAUCCCAUAUUUUCUCUUUCUAAACCCUUCUCUUCUGAUAACAAAAUUCAAAAAUCUUAAGCUCAUAGGUGGACCAGUACGUCAUGCACCACUGAUGCGGUGAUGCUACCGACUAUCACUUCCCAUCCACCGCUGUAAAUGGUGAAGUGAGGCAUCAUAUUUCUCAGUCAAUCAACGAUACCCACCUUUUGCUUCUAUGAGGAUUACCAUCGGUUUUCUAACUGUGGUAAGCUUUAUUAUUAUAAUAUGUAAUAAUGAAUUUGCUAGUCAAUUUUUCUUGGAGUAAUUGCAUUAAUUUUUUGAUUUUAUCUCUUCUCUUCAAUAAUUGAUUUGUUUAUUUGUUUGUUCUAUAUCCAAGUUAUAUAUUGUAUUAUCUUUUAUUUUUGCCCUCUAAUUCUAUAUGGCAGUAGUUUAAAUCUUUGUCAAUCAGAUAGUAUGGUUGAAGUUGAUUUCAAUUAGUUUCUACCGCUUCAAUCAAGAUUCGGUGGUAGUAUCCUUUCUGCUAUAAUUGUUAGUUAGAAGUUUCAGAAAUUCAUAUGUUUCUGUUCGAGUUUUCUCUACUCUCCUUUUACUUCUCUAGAUGUUAAUUGUGCCGAUAAAUCUUUUAUUGUAUCUCAAAAAUCAAAAACUUCUCGACAUAUAUCCCUCAAUUAAGAGCCUAUGUUGUUUAUGAAAUUGAGCUGUAAUUUGUGGGAACUGGUGAUUUUUAUUACUUUUGAUAAAUAUAGGCAUUUGAACUUGUGUACUUUCAUUUGUCGAUUUGGUACUGCUAUCCGAGACAUUGGAUUCGGCCAUUUGUGAACCUUUUGGAGCUCUCCAAGAUAUUUUGGUUACUAUUUUUUUCCCUCUCACUCUAUCAACAGAUCAUAAAUAUUAUGAUUCUUAAGAACUCAACGGGCCCUUCCCCUUCGAAUCAAACAAACAAAGAAGUUCAGGUGAGGCGCAUAUUGAAUUUUCCUCAGAUUGACUCGGUAGGAGAAUUUUUUUGUUUGAAUUUUAGGUCAUAAACAUAUUCUUACUUGUUGUCGAAAAAGCAUGUUGUAUAUCUUUUUAAAACAUAAGAACCAUAUACCUCCUAAUGCUGCAUAUUUACUUCAAAUUGUUUACUAUCAUUGGGUGAAUCAUAUACUUUCUGAGGUUCGCUGUUUAAGUAACAUAAAAGAAGUGAUAAUUGGUCUUGGCCAUGUGGUAAAAUCAAUUGAUUCAGUUUGCUAUAAACAUAUAUUUAAGCUAUAUCGAUAUAGCCAAAAGAAAAGCUCUUUUUUUACUACACAGUGUUUAAUUAUGAUAGCAAGUGAUUCAAAGGAAAGCUUACAUUUUGGACCUUCGAGAGAUUAUAUAUCGGUGAUGUUAGUAACUUGAAGCAGUAGUUUGCAUAAGAUAUUUUCCUACCUCUUUAUUUGAUCUCCCAAUAUUUUUCCUUUAUAUACAGAGACUGUUCGGAUUUGUUCAAUCUUUAACUUGGUGAAAUUGAGGCCUUCAACGAAAGAGACUAUUUUUCUACCGCCAAAUAGCUUGCAUAAGAUAUUUUGCUGUCUCUUUAUUUGUGCUCCCAAUAUUUUUUUUUAUAUACUGAGGUUGUUCGGAUUUGUCAAUUUUCAACUUGGUGAAAUUGAGCCUUUCAACAAAAAACAUGUAUUUUUCUGCCGCCAAAUAGCUCCCGCUCCGUUUAUGUAUGCUCAGUUCCUGUGUACUUUGAGUUAUAUUAUAUGUGGAUGAUUCAAGAGUCUGUAUUUUAUGUCAAAUGAUCUUUUCAGAGGUUGAAUUGCAAAUGUGAAUGAUUAAGUUGAGUAGCGGAGCUGAACUUCCUCAAUUGUGGAGGAAAAUGUAUAAUACCCAAUAUUUUGUUGCCAAUGACAUAUACCGUCAUUUGUUCUUACAUUUUCGCAUGGUAAAAAGUAUUAAGAUAUUUCUCUGUAGCAAAGCCUAAAUAUGUGCAUUCAUAUGUUAACUUCCUUUCUGAAAGCUCUUCAAUUUUAUUAUGACAACGAAAUCUGUACCUGUUUCAGCAUUACAGCCCGCAUGACAUAAAAGUGAGGUUACUGCAUUAAGCAAGUCGCUUGCUGCAAGUUCGAUCGACAAAGUACUCAAAGGAAAGACUAUGAAGAAUCUACCAAAUAUUUUGGAGGGUACUAUCUUCAACCAGUCUUUUCAUUCUGACGUAACAAGUAAUGAAUCACAUGAAGUCUAAGUCCAUCUUAGUGUUCACUUUCUUCCACAUUAGAGAAAAGAUUUGAGCCUUCUACUUGAAUACGUAUGCUAUAACACUACUAGACAACACUCUUGUACAAAGAAGUAACGUAGACCAAAAGUCGUCUUUUACUAUUGGAAUAAGAUCAUGAAUGUCAAAUACUACAUAUGCAGAAGAUGGUCCAGAGUGUGCGUAGAGGUAGUUGUGCUUUUUCCUGAUUAUUAUUGUUGAUGUCAUUUGAAGGUCUGAGAAUUCGGUGUGUUUGUAGAAUGCAGAGUCGUUGAAGUCAUAGCUGCUUUCUACUGCUAAUUUUGUCCUAUGAUUUCAGUUAGUUAUACAUUCAUCUAGGUACAGUGCAAUCCUUUGCUUCAUUUAAAGCUAAAUUAUGGUCAUUCUGUCAAAACUAAAAAGGCAACCCGGGCAAAGAAUUAUCUAGUUAUUAAAUAAGUAUAACUUUCAUUUCAUAUUAGAAUAAUUGUCAACUGAUAUAUAAGUGAGAACAAACUAGUUAUUACUCUCUCCCUCGUACUUGUUAAUUUUUAACUUGACAGUUAGACACCCAUAAAAAUCAUAUUUGGAUGUUAUAACUAUAGUUUGUAUAAUUACUCUCCAUAACAAAUUUUAUAUUUGCUAUGACUAUUAAUUUGUAUAUUUCACUAUACUUAUACAUAAAAAGCAAUUCUAUAAUUUGUCUCGAUAUACAUAUACAAAAGAAUCAAUUGUAUAAUUUGAGUUUGUAUAAAAGAGAAAGAGAAAAAUGCAAAAGAAAACUGGGCAGAGAAAGAUCUGUAUUUGUAUACUCAUAAGUGUAUA